rnacentral:miRNA from 1 species
AAACAUGGUUCUGUCAAGCA